ACCAAGACUGUUGCCUUACCCUAUUUUAUAGUAGAAUGCGGUAUGAUCCCGUCAUUAAUGGUGCAGACAACUUGGGAGUUGUCAAAUCACCGGGGGCUGUCAAAUCACCGUGGGUUGUCAAGUCACUGGGAUUAAUCCAUAUCCUUGGCAGGACAAUGCCCCAGGACGGCCAUACCGGAUAUCCUUGACAGGACAACUGCCC
rnacentral:lncRNA from 1 species